AUGCCAGGUCCCCAUGGAGACCCUGGUGGACCAGUGGGUCCACGUCUCUUAGGUCCCCCACCACCUUCUCAGGGAGAUGAUCCAUUCUGGGAUGGCCCAGGUGAUCCCAUGUGAGGUGGCCCAAUGAGUGGAGGUCCAGGACCUGGUCCUAGACCAUACCACAGUGGCCAAGUGGGUCGAGGAGGAAAUGAGCCACCACCACCACCUCUGUUCCAAGGAGCCAGAGGAGGUCCUUCCGGAGGAGGACCGCCAAAUGGCCGAGGGGGUCCUGGUGGAGGAGGCAUGGUUGGAGGUGGUGGGCACCGCCCCCAUUAAGGCCCUGGAGAGAACAUAGGGAAGUGGUGGACAUCGUUCCCAUGAAGGCCCUGGAGGGAGCAUGGUCAGUGGACAUCGUUCUCAUGAGGGCCCUGGAGGGAACAUGGGUAGAAGUGGUGGACACCGUUCCCAUGAAGGCCCUGGACAUGUAGGACCCAAUGGCCACCGGCCACAUGAUGUCCCUAGCCAUCGAGGCCAUGACCAUCAAGGGCCACCACCUCAUGAACACCGUGGUCAUGAUGGCCAUGGGGGAGGCGGCCACCGAGGGCAUGAUGGAGGUCACAGUCAUGGAGAAGACAUGUCAAAUCGCCCUGUCUGCCCACACUUCAUAAUGAAGGGCAACUGCUGCUAUGAGAACAACUGUGCCUUCUACCACCCAGAGGUCAAUGGGCCCCCACUGUCCUAGGCCUGCCUGCCCUACCCGCACCCCUGUGGACUGCAGCCUUGCUCCUUCCACUUGGUUAUGGCUUCUGUGAGGCCCACUGUCCUUUUCCCCAGCUGAUGAGGAGCCGGCNCCCUCAGUUCCCACCUGGUUGGGUUUCUGGGGGUUUCUGUUCCUGGUGUGCAUUGAUGUACAUAGUCCCCUCCAGUCUGGAGAGGAGAGAGACUGGACACACUCUAGAUGCUGGACUGCUGAGACGGCUGGCUUCACUCUGUGAGGAGAUUUGCCNUGUGCCCCAAACCCUUUCCAGUAUUAGCCCCGCUGCCUGAGAACCUAAAGCUGGUCACUCUGGAGACCUCUGCUCUCCACAUGCACACGGAACUAAGUGGGACAACUGCACUUAGGAAACCAUCCAAGCUAAGCUCGUUAUCCUCACAGGGCGAGGGGGUGGUGAGGGGUACCAUCUAUCCCACUGCACUGCACUGAGGGCUCAAGCUGGCUGAAGCUGAGUUCUGGAACCACCCCCACUUGUGCCCCACAUGGGCCAAUCACCGUUGAGUCCUUUCUCAAGACAGACUGCAACUGUUACCUCCCACGUCAUCGUGGGUCUACUAGGUUCAGUGAUGGCACAUUCAUGUCUGUAUCCAUGGAAGUUGUUAUCUGGCAGAGGGGCAACCUGUAGUGUUGGGCCACUCCUGCCUAUGGCGGUAUUUAGAGACUCCGUGAGACCAGCUUUCAUUAACUUUAGCCGGGGACAGCGGGCCUGAAGCACUACAUGCACUGCCUUUGGGAGUGGGCCUGCUCCUUCCUUACCCCAUGGAGGAGCCCUGUCAGUGAGGCUUCCUGGGCAGACUCAGCAGUAGGGGCCCUUCCCAGUCGUCUCCUCCCCCUGUUUUGGCAUCAGUUGUUUUCUAUGAAAACAGUGAGUUGGUUUUGUGCAGAAUCUUGGGUUAGAACCACAAUGGAUUUGAGGAGUUUUUCUUUUGGUUUUGUAUAUUUUGUACAUUAAUAAUAAACAGUGGAAAGAGAAACAGCUCA